UACCAGUCAUCUUCUGUAGGGUCU
rnacentral:siRNA from 1 species